AGAGUUUGAUCAUGGCUCAGAUUGAACGCUGGCGGCAUGCCUUACACAUGCAAGUCGAACGGUAACAGGUCUUCGGAUGCUGACGAGUGGCGAACGGGUGAGUAAUACAUCGGAACGUGCCCGAUCGUGGGGGAUAACGAGGCGAAAGCUUUGCUAAUACCGCAUACGAUCUACGGAUGAAAGCGGGGGAUCUUCGGACCUCGCGCGGACGGAGCGGCCGAUGGCAGAUUAGGUAGUUGGUGGGAUAAAAGCUUACCAAGCCGACGAUCUGUAGCUGGUCUGAGAGGAUGAUCAGCCACACUGGGACUGAGACACGGCCCAGACUCCUACGGGAGGCAGCAGUGGGGAAUUUUGGACAAUGGGCGAAAGCCUGAUCCAGCCAUGCCGCGUGCAGGAUGAAGGCCUUCGGGUUGUAAACUGCUUUUGUACGGAACGAAAAGCCUCUUUCUAAUAAAGAGGGGUCAUGACGGUACCGUAAGAAUAAGCACCGGCUAACUACGUGCCAGCAGCCGCGGUAAUACGUAGGUUGCAAGCGUUAAUCGGAAUUACUGGGCGUAAAGCGUGCGCAGGCGGUUUUGUAAGACAGAGGUGAAAUCCCCGGGCUCAACCUGGGAACUGCCUUUGUGACUGCAAGGCUGGAGUGCGGCAGAGGGGGAUGGAAUUCCGCGUGUAGCAGUGAAAUGCGUAGAUAUGCGGAGGAACACCGAUGGCGAAGGCAAUCCCCUGGGCCUGCACUGACGCUCAUGCACGAAAGCGUGGGGAGCAAACAGGAUUAGAUACCCCGGUAGUCCAA
rnacentral:rRNA from 1 species